GAAAAUCCAAACGCAUGUCAACAUGACUGAGGGUCAAGAAUGUUCAAAGAAAACUAUUGUGACAUUGCGGGAGGAGUCCAAAAGCAGCUAAGAGUGCGUGUGUGCCUGAGGGUGGGGAUGGGGCACCCACACGGGCAAGUGAGAGGUGGAGAAUUACUGUACCAGUGCCCUCCCAAACCAAUCACCCUACUGUGUAUCCUGUUUCAAAAGGCUAAAUGGGAAAAGCAAAGAAAAAAAUCAUUCUACAUGUGUUUAAGGAAUCCAUAAUAUCACAGGAAUUGAAAUGAUGCCUCUGGGGCUCCCGGUCAAGAUGGUGGACUGAGCACAUGCACUCAUCCCCCUCCUGCCUGUGACCCCUUUAAAUUACAGCCAAGGAGUAAAAAAGGUAUAAACCACGACAAUGGUGAGAACAGAGAAGCUGUCAUCAUACUAGAUAUUUCAACAAACUGGGGGAUCUGAAAGUGGAUGGGCAAGCAUUGCUUGGCAAAGGAGAGCAGAGGAAUUCACAGGUGAGGAUCAAGCCCAUCUGCCCAGAAGAGCCCCAAACAUGAAGAUGGCAAGUGCAGUGGAGGAAGGGAGUGAGACACAGAGGGCGGGGGAAAACCAGGGAUCAUACGUCUGUAUAUGAAGCGGCAGCCAGCCAAGGCACACGCCUGACCCACUUCUCCACCUCCUCACCCCCAGCAAGGAGGGGUCUUCUCUGAAGAACAUAAAGUUUGGAAAGUAUUAAUGCAGUGUGUCAGUGUCCCAACACAAAGCCCUGAGAGGUUCCUCAAUUCCCCUGCUCACAGUCUAGAAAGUACUAAUGCAGUGAGUCAGUGUCCCAACACAAAGCCCUGAGA
rnacentral:lncRNA from 1 species